rnacentral:lncRNA from 1 species
GAAAAAGAGUAGGGAAGAGGAGAAAGAGACCAGCAUGUAUCCUGGUUAGGAUUAUUGGUGCAAUGAAUCCUAUGUCCAGUUUUCACCACAAACCAUGGUAGAAUUUUCACUAUAAUCCACUGAUUACAUUCACCAAUACUAUUGAAUUACUCCCUAAUUCAACUAGUAUCUACCCCUAAACUUUCUUCACCAACGCUUAGCUACUCAAAGUGCUUUUCCAACUUGGAAAGGGAAUCCUAACAGAUUCAAAACUCACCAAGUGCUAACCCAACUUGGCAAGGAGAACUAAUCCUAGUUCAACACCUCAAUUACAUAAAAAAUCAGUGGCUAUUAUGCAUCACUCUUGCCUUUUCUCUCUUGCCUUUUCAACCUCACAUAAUCAGCCUUUUCUCAACACAGAAAAUGACAUAAGACAGCCAUAACAAAGAAAAUAAAAAAAUUAAGCUUGAGUAGAAGAAAAAUAUUUCAACUCCAUGUUAGAGAUGAUGCUCUGAGUGUGUGCUCUCUUUUUCUUGCCUUGAAAUGUUGGAAUGAGGCUUCUUAUAUAUCUUUAGCUUGCCUUCAUUUUUGCUUUAUACUUUUGCUUAUCCUUGCUGCCCGUUGAAGCUGUCACAACCAGCAAGUAGUCCUUCUUCCUCAUGCUCCACUACCUCUGCUGGAUGAGAAGCACAUCCACCACCUCUGUAAUCCUUUGUUUUGCUUUCUUCCUUAAUAUGCACUCCUUUUUCAUCCUUCUCCAUAACUCCUGCUGCUACUGCUCUUUGCUCGUUUAUAUUUUGCUCAACUAU